UUUUCUUCGGAUUUUCCGUCCAGUAUAGGGGAAAGAAAGGAGAUCCCUCCUGGUCAAAAAAUUCUCGACGGCCAGUCUCGGUGAUUAUUAUUUUAAAGAAUUGAUCUUUAAAGUUCUUGAAAGACUCGGAGUAACCCAAUCCCUUUUCGGAGAAGGACACACGUCGAAAUAAUAGAGAAAGGCAGGAACAAUGGGAGGUAUGCCCGCAACCAAACACGCGGAGCCAAACACUUGAACCGCGGCCCACGAGUUCAGAUGAAGUUGUGUUGGCGCCACAUUCAACUCACGAAGCAACCUCGCCUGGAAGUUGGUGAAGGGGAUGCGAAUACGUAGUUGGUAGAAAAAAUUUGCAUAGACGAAGAAAAAGUCCUCAACACUGGAGCCUUUCCCAUGGCAUACGCGCUCAUUUUCCCG
rnacentral:lncRNA from 1 species